UGUCAGAUAGCUCAGUGGUUUAGAGCAGUCGCCUGGAAAGCGAAAGGCCCGGGUUCGAGUCCCAGCCUAGCAA